rnacentral:rRNA from 1 species
GACGAACGCUGGCGGCGUGCCUAAUACAUGCAAGUCGAGGGACCGGCGCACGGGUGAGUAACACGUAUCCAACCUGCCCUUUACUCGGGGAUAGCCUUUCGAAAGAAAGAUUAAUACCCGAUAUAAAGGAUGGGGAUGCGUUCAAGUAGGUUGUUGGUGAGGUAAAGGCCCACCAAGCCUUCGAUGGAUAGGGGGUCUGAGAGUAAGGCCCCCUACAUGGGAACGGAGACACGAUCCAAACUCAUACGGGAGGCAGCAGUGAGGAAGAUUGGUCAAUGGGCGCUAGCCUGAACCAGCCAAGUAGCGUGAAGGAUGAAGGCUUAUGGGUCGUAAACUUCUUUUAUAUAAGAAUAUGUAUUAUAUGAAUAAGGAUCGGCUAACUCCGUGCCAGCCGCCGCGGUAAUAC